UUUGUUGCAGAGGAAGUGUGUGUGUGUGUGUGUGUGGGUGUGUGCGUGUGUGUAACUUAUCUUAAAUGUCUCCUUUCUCUUCUCUCUCUCCCUCCUGCUGUCGGCGUCGCUGCAGUGAAAUCCUCCCAGUCUCUCUCCUCCGGCUCCCUGUCAGUCCAACUGGUUCUGGUCUUGGAUCUUUGUCUGGUCCAGAUCGUCCCUCAGUCAAUGUCCAUGUUGUCCACAGAUGAAACAAGCAUCACCAGUUCAGAGUGGUGUCUUCUCCUCUCACAGCUUUGAAUCAUGUUUAUCUUUUCUUUCUCUGCGCUGAUACUGGACAGCAGACCAGCGGAGGUUGUUAAAGCUCAGUCACACACAGUUUCAGUCCAAAUGUCCAACAGGAGACCUGACAGUCGUCCCCUGAAUGGAAAUGUUUCAUCAGUUCUCUGGUGUCAAAAAUAAAAAUCAGGAUCAACAGACACUUCAGUGGCUGGAGGUGAUGAAGGUUUUCUUCAUCUUCCUGAUCUUCUUGAUCCACUGGAUCCACUGGAUCUCUUUCAUCAGCUGGUGGUGUGAGAGGGACAUCAUCUGGUCCAUGGGAGGACAGGGUUGAGGAGUUGAGGUCAGAGGUCAGAUGCACCGCAGCAAGGCUCAGACAGAGGAAAAAAAGAAGCAAAUAGAAAUCGAUUUGGUUUAUUUUGUUUUAGUCACUUAUUAUUCAUCCUUUUAAGGAAUAAAAUCAUUUGCUUAUUCAAACACACAAAAACAUAAAACAUAUUAAGGCCUGUAAUUUAUUGACAAAAGAUUUAUGUUCAGUAAUAGAAGCAUUUCCAUUUGUUUAU